GCCGGUGCCCGAUUGAGAACCGGUUUUUCAUGUUUCGACUGCCAGCGAACCAGCUCCCAGCCGGGAAAACUGGUUCCAGAGCGGCUCCAACUCUUUGCUGGACCAGAACCGCGAACCGCUUACGUCAAGGGCGGGGGGCGGGGUUACCGUGGCCAAAAACACAAACCAAACAAUGCGGGCUAGGGUACAGACCUUCAUGCCGACUCACCAGGGCCUAUAACUCCAUAGCGAUCAUGGAGUCGAUGGUGGAUGAGUCGCUCAACAUCCAGAGCUCUACCGAUAAUGAGUUGUCUGCAAUCAAAGAUGCUGAGGUGGACUUGACGCUGCCGCCACCUUUGACCUGCAGCUCACCCUCACCAUCGAGCGGAUGAGCGAGAGGAGAGACAGAUGUUUUAAAACAAAAUGUACUGUAAUCUACAUGAUUUUAGUUAAUAAGCAACUUGCAUAUGGUGCCAAAACUACAUGUACACAACUCGUAACUUGUUUAUUUUGCACAUAUGCGGGUCCCUCCUUCACCAGUACUGCAAAUGUAGGUCCUUCCCCCAUCAGCACUAAAAAAAACAACUCCAAGCGAUCAAAAUGAUUCCUGCAUACCACCAUAUGUGAGGUCCAUCUUUAUGAGGCAGGACAAGAUUGAAGAUUCUCUCUCUACUAUAAAGACCAUUGUAAUGAAAGAUGUGAGGUCUGCUGACCCUGAGACUGAGGAGCUCACCAGUCCACUAAAGAUUUCAACAGAUAAAAUAUGAUGUAAAACAAA